AUGAUGAGGUCCGAGAGCCCAGAGCAGCUCAAGAAGAUAUGAAUGGUGAAGAUGAAGCUGUUGCCAGGAUGAAGGCUACUGAGGAAGCCCUGGAAGCAAAACAAAAGCAAAAACCGUCAUUUGAACUUUCUGGGAAGCUUGCAGAGGAGACCAAUCGGGUUCGAGGUAUAACUCUACUAUUUACUGAACCACCAGAUGCUUGCAAAGCGGACACAAGAUGGCGACUCUAUGUUUUCAAGGGUGGUGAAGCGCUCAAUGAACCCCUCUAUGUUCAUCGCCAAACUUGUUAUCUUUUUGGGAGGGAAAG
rnacentral:misc_RNA from 1 species